ensembl:misc_RNA
UUGAGAUGCCUGAAGAUUGAAAUCUUUCUAUCCACAGAUUAGGUAUGGCAAGUCAUGGGCAAUGCAAGCUGCUCUUACAUUGCCCUGCUAAUGUGCCUGAACCCUGAUUUGGAGGGGCCACAGCUAGUGACUGAAUCAUUGGUCUCUCUGUUGAGACUGUCAGGCAUCACCACAG